rnacentral:pre_miRNA from 1 species
GAUUUCAACUGAACAAGUUAUCAAUAACAAAGUGGUAUAACUCAUCAAGAUCUAUAACUUUUAUUUUGGUCAUUUCUUCAUCUGACAAAAUGAUUUGUAAGAAUUUUCACAAAAUGAACAUAUCUCUUAUAUAGUUUCAUAAACUAUAAGAGAGAUAUGUAUUUUGUGAAAAUGUUACUAUCACUUUAUCGGAUGAAGAAAUGACCGAAAUAAAAGUUAUAGAUCUUGAUGAGUUAUACAACUUUAUUGUUGAUGACUUUUUCAGCUGAAAUC